UCUUUUCUAUAUACUCUUCUGCAUCUUGAUCUUCUUCGUUUUCGUCUUUCUCCUCAUCUUCUCUUUGUUUUUUCAAAAUCAUAAGUUUUGAUAGGCACUCAACAACGACAACUACUACCAAGAAUCUCCCUCAACCAAUCCGCCGUCGAUGAACUUACUGACAUAAGUGAUAUUGCGAGAGACAGACUCAUCCUCGUUCAACACAACCUCGAUUAAAGCUAGAAUAAGACAGUCGGAGCUUGCCGUCGCUGAGACCGCCGCACACAGUCGAUUAUGCAGGCACACUUAUUUUUGUCAAAACCCUAAUAUUUUAUUGGGUUGGGCUAUAAACUGUAUGUUGGGUUUUUGUUAAAUGUAUAUUGGGCUUUUUAUCUAAUUUGUAAUGGUUUUUUUAAUUGGAUUUGUAAUAGUGCAAAUAUCUUUUUUUUUAACAAGUUAACCGAAAUUGAAACCGAUUAAACCGAAGAAAUAAAAUUCG